rnacentral:misc_RNA from 1 species
GCAAACUUGGUCAUUUAGAGGAAGUAAAAGUCGUAACAAGGUUUCCGUAGGUGAACCUGCGGAAGGAUCAUCACUGAUUCGCGGGGUCUGUGUUCCUGUGUGUGCUGCGUAUAGCGCGCGCGCACAUAGCGAGCCGCCCCAAACCAAUCUUGUGUGCACCGUUUCACUGGUCAAAGGAUGACAUGUGGUGGUUGUGUGUGUUGGUGGGUGGAGGAGUGCGUGUGCGUAUCACAGCAAUGUGUGGCCGCCCGCCGCCCACCGACUGCACGCACCCCGUCAUUCUAAAUUUAUACAACAAUCUCUUGGUGUUAACUACUUUGUCUAACGCGCGUUACUUGAAAUAAUAACACAUACAACUUUUAACAAUGGAUCUCUUGGCUCUCGCAUCGAUGAAGAACGCAGC